rnacentral:lncRNA from 1 species
GUUCUUAUGGAAGACUGUCCGCUUCUGAGCAGGCAGCAUUAGUAUUCCAGGGAGUGGAGUCAGGACCACACAGAUUCAGGGCUGGAAGGGAUCUCAGACCAUCCAGUCCAACCCCAGUACCCUGGGAAGAAAACCGAGGUGAGGCGGUGUCAUGUGACCUGCCUGGUCCCGUGGAGAGCCGGGCAGCGUGGGGGCAGAGGCUGGCCCUCCUGAUCUGCACCCAGGCGGCUUCUACACCACCCUGCAGCAGGCCUGGCCACCGGCCUCAGCGCUUCUGGGAGAAGCAGGCAGAUGAGCCCUGGGACCCAGCUGGCCAACCCACCUGACCACGGUGACAAGGACUGCUUGGGAAGGAUAAGCCCAGGUUCGGGAAAGCAAAUUCAGGCUGCAGGACAGCUGCCCGGGCCCCCCACAAGCCUGGCACCAGCCCAGGGAAGACUGAGGAGCCUCACUCCAUGGGGACUGCAAACACCUGAACACAGCGAACCUGAAGGUAUAGGGCAUCUUCAGGCUGCUACUGAGGCGGUCCUGCCGCACUCAACCCAGAACCUCAUCACUAAAAGGAACCUCAUGGUUCAGGCUAGAGUGCAGUGGCGCGAUCUCGGCUCACUGAAACCUCCGCCUCCCAGGUUCAAGCAAUUCUCCUGCUUCAGCCUCCCAAGUAGCUAGGAGUACAGGAGCUGCCAAAAAGCUUUCAGCUGCUGCAUUGGCCGGGAAUCGAACCCGGGCCUCCCGCGUGGCAGGCGAGAAUUCUACCACUGAACCACCAAUGCUCCAGCUGAGUGCUGUUCUGCCUCCAGCUGUUUUGUUGCUCUGAUUCACAGUGGUGAUGGCACAGCUGUAACCUGACACCUGAGAUGGGUCCAGCAUGGACAGCUGCUGGAUUUUACCAGCCAAACCUAUGGGAGGAGGUGGGGCAUGCAUGCUUGACAUUCUGCUCAGCUGUUCAAAAGAAAAGUCCAUGAAUGGCAAUGGGAGAAUGCUCAGCAAUUCUUUUGGCUCCUGUGGGCAGGUUCCAGACCUUACUCUGUUAUCCUUAAAGAUCUGAGUAGGCUUAGUCUUCCCUAUAAAAAAUUUCUUGACAAAUUAGCUGAAACUGUCAUUCACUUGUUUCUCUUGUUUUAUGGCCUUGUGGGUUAUUCUACUGAAUGCUGUGAUUUCUUUUACCACUGGUUGAUUUGUCUUGUUUUGCUGUCUUGCCUCCUUGACUAGACUGUAAGCCUCUGGAGCACAAGGACUUUGUCUGGUAAACACAGCUUGAUGUAUAACAGAUGUUUGCUAAAUGUUAGAUUUGUAAUAAAUGGAAUUUAACUAGAAAAAAAAA